rnacentral:rRNA from 1 species
AACGCGAAGAACCUUACCAACUCUUGACAUCCCAUUGACCGCUUGAGAGAUCAAGUUUUCCCUUCGGGGACAAUGGUGACAGGUGGUGCAUGGUUGUCGUCAGCUCGUGUCGUGAGAUGUUGGGUUAAGUCCCGCAACGAGCGCAACCCCUAUCCUUAGUUGCCAGCAUUCAGUUGGGCACUCUAGGGAGACUGCCGGUGACAAACCGGAGGAAGGUGGGGAUGACGUCAAAUCAUCAUGCCCCUUAUGAGUUGGGCUACACACGUGCUACAAUGGACGGUACAAAGGGCAGCGAGACCGCGAGGUGGAGCCAAUCCCAUAAAGCCGUUCCCAGUUCGGAUUGCAGGCUGCAACUCGCCUGCAUGAAGUCGGAAUCGCUAGUAAUCGCAGGUCAGCAUACUGCGGUGAAUACGUUCCCGGGUCUUGUACACACCGCCCGUCACACCACGAGAGUUUGCAACACCCGAAGCCGGUGAGUAACCANCAAGGAG